rnacentral:rRNA from 1 species
GAUGAACGCUGGCGGCGUGCCUAAUACAUGCAAGUAGAACGCUGAAGCUUGGUGCUUGCACCGAGCGGAUGAGUUGCGAACGGGUGAGUAACGCGUAGGUAACCUGCCUCUUAGCGGGGGAUAACUAUUGGAAACGAUAGCUAAUACCGCAUAAAAGUCAAUAUCGCAUGAUAUUGAUUUGAAAGGUGCAAAUGCAUCACUAAGAGAUGGACCUGCGUUGUAUUAGCUAGUUGGUGAGGUAACGGCUCACCAAGGCGACGAUACAUAGCCGACCUGAGAGGGUGAUCGGCCACACUGGGACUGAGACACGGCCCAGACUCCUACGGGAGGCAGCAGUAGGGAAUCUUCGGCAAUGGGGGCAACCCUGACCGAGCAACGCCGCGUGAGUGAAGAAGGUUUUCGGAUCGUAAAGCUCUGUUGUAAGAGAAGAACGAGUGUGAGAGUGGAAAAUUCACGCUGUGACGUAUCUACCA